UACGAAGGGGGCUAGCGUUGUUCGGAAUUACUGGGCGUAAAGCGCACGUAGGCGGGUGGUUAAGUCAGGGGUGAAAUCCCGGAGCUCAACUCCGGAACUGCCUUUGAUACUGAGGAUCUUGAGUACGGGAGAGGUGAGUGGAACUGCGAGUGUAGAGGUGAAAUUCGUAGAUAUUCGCAAGAACACCAGUGGCGAAGGCGGCCUUCUGGACCAAUACUGACGCUCAUGCACGAAAGCGUGGGGAGCAAACAGG
rnacentral:rRNA from 1 species